GACGAACGCUGGCGGCGUGCUUAACACAUGCAAGUCGAACGAAGUGGCGCACGGGUGAGUAACGCGUAAUCCACCUGCCCUUCAGAGGGGGACAACAGGUGGAAAAGACCGCUAAUACCGCAUACUGAAGGAGGGGAUUGCGGCGGAUUAGCUAGUUGGCGGGGUAACGGCCCACCAAGGCGAUGAUCAGUAGCCGGGCUGAGAGGAUGAACGGCCACAUGUGGACUGAGACACGGCCCAGACUCCUACGGGAUGCAGCAGUGGGGAAUCUUCCGCAAUGGACGAAAGUCUGACGGAGCAACGCCGCGUGAGUGAUGACGGCCUUCGGGUUGUAAAGCUCUGUUAAUCGGGACGCGGUACCGGAAUAGAAAGCCACGGCUAACUACGUGCCAGCAGCCGCGGUAAUUC
rnacentral:rRNA from 1 species